rnacentral:pre_miRNA from 1 species
AAUAUUUUGUAUCCAGUUCUUAGUGUUCACUGCGAUCCUUGAUUUACACACAACGUGGGCAAUUAAGGCACGCGGUGAAUGCCAAGAGUCUGGAAUCCAUACACAUCG